UUAGUUCUCAGGCUAACUUGGUAGGUAUAGAAUAAAUGCCCUUCCUUUUGUCUCAGUUCAUUCUCCACCCAUAUGACUGCAAUUUCAGAAGCAAAGCACAUAUUAUUGUGCAGUCCUGCUGAUGUGCUCUACUACAGAACAAGCCCACAGAAAGAUCCAGCAUUUAUAUCAACAAUGUCAUGAAUUAACUAAUAGACUACAUGGUUCCACCAGGGCAGAUACAAUCUGAACACUAACUUAGGAGAAAGCUAGAAGGACUGUCAUUCAAGUUUCACAUGUGGUAAAGGAAAAGGCAAAGGCAGUGAAAAUAUUCUUUACUCAAAGGAUUUUCCAACUCACACUUCUUCAGCUGCUGAAAUAGAGGACAA